AGCCAACGCUGGCGGCAUGCUUAACACAUGCAAGUCGCACGGGCAGCAAUGUCGGUGGCGGACUGGUGAGUCACGCGUAGGAACGUUUUCUGAUGUGGAGGACAACCCCGGUAAACUGGGGCCAAUACGGCAUAUGGGCUGAGCCCCGAAGCCGAGUGUCGCCUUUGUAUCGGCCUGCGUCCGUUUAGGUAGAUGGUUGGGUAAAGGCCUACCAAGCCUUCGAUCGGUAGCUGGUCUGUGAGGACGACCAGCCACAAUGGGACUGCGACACGGCCCAGACUCCUACGCGAGGCAGCAGUGCGGAAUAUUGGACAAUGGGCGAAAGCCUGAUCGCGCAAUGCCGCGUGGGUGAAGAAGGUCUUCGGAUCGUAAAGCCCUUUCGACGGGGACGAUGAUGACGGUACCCGUAGAAGAAGCCCCGGCUAACUUCGUG
rnacentral:rRNA from 1 species